ensembl:lncRNA
GGGCAGGGCACGAGUCCGGCGGCCCGGCGGGAGCGGCGGCGGCGGCAGCGGCGGGGGAAGUGACGGGCAGGAAGCGCUUCCCGGCGGACGCGCGUCAGCGCGGGGGCGCGCCCGCCGCGGCACCGCCCCGCCAGGGGGACGAGCCCGCACCGCCCCUCACCCGCUCCCUGAGGGGACGGCGAGCACCAUCCCGGUCCCUAAGGGGACGGCGAGCUCUUCGCCGUGCACUUCAUCCGGCAUCCCGCUCCCCGACGGAACGGCGAGCACCAUCCCGCUCCAUGACGGGACGGCGAGCUCCUCCCCAUCCCGUUCCCCCCUCAUCCCGCUCCCUGAGGGAACGGCGAGCUCCUCGCCGUCCCGUUCAUCCCUCAUCCCGCUCCAUGAGGGACUAGCGAGCACUUCGCCGUCCCGUUUCUUCCUCAUCCUGCUCCGUGAGGGAAGUAGAGACAUCCCCGUCUCGUUCAGCCACCAUCCCGCUCCUUGAGGGAAUAGCGACCUCAUCGCUGUCCCGUCCAUCCCCCCAUCGGCUCUCUGAGGGAACAGCGACCUCAUCCCCGUCCCGUUCAUCCUGUAAGGAAAAUUAAUCCGCGUACACCAGAGGUCUAUGUCCGAAAAGGAGACAAAGGAGUCCUGUAACUUUAUUCGAAUAGAGGGAGAGGUCACGGCCAUUUCCCAAUAAAUUGUUAGAGGACGCAGCCUCCUUUUUGUCCUAAUUUCCAGGCUGCAUUUCCCUCUCUCUUCCCCCAUUGGCUGAGGUACGUGACAGGUACAUUCCUGAAUCACCUAAUAUAGACCCCUUUCUAAUGUGUACCCCCCUCUUCUUUUUCCUUGUGUUUUCUCUAAAUUCAGAAAUUUAUCACAGUCUUGAGUGACAGUCUCUGUCAACUAGUGAAAUUUAUGGUUCCCUGCAUUGUUUCUUUCAUCUCUCAGUAUCUGGCUUUAUCUACCAUCACACCCACAGCUUGUUUGUAAAGACACCUCCUUAUUCCUCUCAAUCCCCUCAUCCCACUUCCCAAAGGAAUAGCGACCUCAUCACUGUCCAGUCCAUCUGCUCAUCCCACCCCCAGAGGGAACAGCAACCUCCUCGCCAUUCCAUCCAUCCAUCCAUCCAUCCAUCCAUCCAUCCAUCCAUCCAUCCAUCAUCCAUCAUCCAUCCAUCCAUCAUCCAUCCAUCCAUCCAUCCAUCUAUCCAUCAUCCAUCCAUCCAUCCAUCCAUCCUCGGGUGGUCCCAGGGCUGCGGCCAAGGUCCCUCAGUGCCGUGCUCGCUCCUAAACCUGCAGCAAGUGACUCCUGCCAAAAGGCAGCCUAGCUUUUCCUGCAGGGCAGGCUCUCCCCACAGCUCACUGAGGAACCUGAUCAGCCUUUCCAGCCAGGAAGGCGAUGGGAAAGCCCUGAAGGGUGUAGGGAUUUCAGGGAUACACAGCAGCACCCAUCUGCUUGGCCAUUUUUAUGCCAAAGACAAGUUGUUGGUGGUGUCUGGACUUGCCCUCAGAAGCGUCUAAGGAUGGCAUUUGAAAAUGUGUCACCACCCUUACUCAAAGAUGAGGGGAGUGGUGUUUCUCAGAAUCAGAAUGAUUGACAGUUAAUCAUCUCCUUUUUCUCUUAUGCCUUACAACUAGGAAAAGUAUUUAAAUCAUUAACUGAAAAUCGAAGUUGGAGCUAACUGCAGACUUCCACAGCUUCAUUUAAAAGAUAAGGCACUCUUUUUCACAUUCUUCUGGUAUUUUAUUUCUCAUCCCAGGGUUCUCAGAAGUAACUCCUAAAGAUUUUAUAACUUCAUGACUCAUUUUCAGGCAUACUGACACUGUGGAUCAACAGUUUCUGCAUGGAGAAACUACAUGGACGUUUCCAGUGUCUUUAAACUUUUCUGGAUUUUUUCCAAACAAAAAUGUAUUACUUCUACAUUUUCAUUUUUCAAAACCUUAUCUGAGCAUAGGGCUAUGUCUCCUUGGUAGAAAUGCUAUUUGGGUUUACAUUUUUAAAAACUCAUCUGGUAACUGAUAUUGUCAACUUUUUCAGUGGAAAAAAAAAAUAAUCCUAAGGGUUGGUACAAAGAAAAAUUUAAAUUACCUGAUUAGAAUUCAAGGUUGAGAAACAGAAAGAAUGGGAAGAUUGUGUUUGGGGAAGUUUACUUUUAAUGAUUUCAUAGCUGUGAUUCAUUUUGUCUUCUGUUGAUUUUCCACCUGCACAAACCUUUUGACAUCCACUUAGGAAGACACAAAAUCAAUAAUGGGCAGAGAAAGGCAAAAAUAUUUCAAAUUUGCCAGUAAGUAGCUGAAAAUCAGAAAAGGAGAAAAAUGAUGGAGACGUGAAACCUAUGAAAUCUAAACAUCCCACUAGGCCAAGCAGAAUUACAGGGUAUUGGAAAAUAUGACUAAGGACAUAUGGAAUUAAUUCUGAAAAUAAACCUGUCUACAUUUUUUCUUAAGGUCUCCA